rnacentral:rRNA from 1 species
GCGGACCCGCAAUGCGGAAAUCCAAACUUUGUUGGGAUGCCMCGUAUGGKAAAAUAUCGYUUAAGAGUAACCUACCCUGUAAUCCAAACUCGUCUAGUGAGAAAUUAGACCAWAGAGGGUAAUAGCCCCGUAGGACAGGAAAAGUAAACRGGUWGGACUCGAAAUUGAUAUUUUCUCUUGAGUCAGGUUAUUUGAGAAUAUAGCCWAAAGAGGAGGUAUAUUCCUUCUAAAGCUAAAUAUAACUGUGAGACCGAUAGUGAACAAGUACCAUGAGGGAAAGUUGAAAAGAACUUUGAAGAGAGAGUUCAGUCAUAGCUGUUUCCUGA